rnacentral:rRNA from 1 species
AUUGAACGCUGGCGGCAGGCCUAACACAUGCAAGUCGAACGAGUGGCGGACGGGUGAGUAAUGUCUGGGAAACUGCCUGAUGGAGGGGGAUAACUACUGGAAACGGUAGCUAAUACCGCAUACCAUCGGAUGUGCCCAGAUGGGAUUAGCUAGUAGGUGGGGUAAAGGCUCACCUAGGCGACGAUCCCUAGCUGGUCUGAGAGGAUGACCGGCCAAACGGGAACUGGAACACGGUCCAGACUCCUACGGGGGGCAGCGGGGGGGAAUGUUGCACAAUGGGCGCAGGCCUGAUGCACCCAUGCCGGGUGUAUGAAGAAGGCCUUCGGGUUGUAAAGUACUUUCGGCGGGAAGACGUUACCCGCAGAAGAAGCACCGGCUAACUCCGUGCCAGCCGCCGCGGUAAUU